AAGGGUGCUGGAACCUGUGAAAAUGUACAAAAGCUGCUCAUUGAGAAAACAGACCUUUGGCUGCCCUUGGCAACAGCACGGGAUUAUGGAUUAGGAAUGGCAGGAACUGUCAGGUGUAAGAUACAUGUUGGUUUGGAGGACUUUUUUCCUCUCUACUUGUUUUUGCUGCCAACUGCUGCAUCUCAUAUCUGGGAAAGAACAGGUGCAGAGGCCAUCUUGGGACUGCAGUGCAUUGCCAGCAGCUUGCAGAGCUCCUGCAAGGAAUUUCAUGUUGCUGAUGAUUCCUCCCCUUGGCUGGGACAAUCAUGCUGAUGUUCAUGCUCCUCUCCAAAGGUUUGGUCAUUUCUGUGUUUUAUGAAGCUUUCUACACCCUGCACUUCAUGGGGCUGCAGCUUCACCUUUGGGCUGCUUUGGGAUGCAUUUUGUGUGUGCUCAGUAGUUGCUCCAUGCCCUUUCUGUUGCCCCUAUAACUGGUCUCAGUAAU